AAAUCUCAACCUCCUUGGUUUCUUUUGGACACUGAAGGAGGCUUGGACUUUGGAGGCCUUUGCCGGCAUCCCUCUCUUUUGAGAGCUGGCUCCUCUUAAAUGAAUUAGCGGGGUCCUCUUUGCUGAUCCUUGACAUGUGAUAAGAUGUUUCCGUGUCUUGGUUUCUGGCUCUGUUGCCUUUGGGACCUGCUUCUAACUGUCUCAGCCUUGCGUCGAGACAAUGUUUGAGCGUGUCUCCCUUCUCGGGAAACUCUCUCAACUCCACAAAC
rnacentral:misc_RNA from 1 species